GAUGCGUUACUUGAUUUUCUUGGAGUAAAAUGAUUCAACAGUAAUUGAACUUUGCAUUAUGUAUGUUUCACUUACUAUACUUUAAUUUGCAUCCCAUCAUUCACUGAACUUUACAAAAUUGCACUCCAUCACUAACCCACUAACUUUUGUCUUCACAGUCCGCCUACGUGGAAGACGACAGUCAUAUGUGGCCAUUAAAUAAUCCAAACUGGAGAAGGAAUUGUUAGGUCAAAUGAACCAAGCACCCCUUACCUUAUUUCAUCACGGAAAUUGCGAUUUGGGAACCCUAAUUUAUCAUAAACGCUCGAUUUAUCUUGGCAUCGAAGUGAAAUUCCUCAAACAUCUCCGUCAAAAGCGUGAACCCUACUCCCCAAAAUCAUAAUUAUUCCAAAAUUGAAUACGAGUCAAGGGCAAUUGUUGAUUGGCUCGGAGAGAACACCCAAAGGUAAUUGAGAAAAAUUUUCCCUUUUCAUAAUUUAAUAUCAUUGAAUUUGUAGUGCGAACUAGUUUUGUGAUCGAGUUGAGUUGUUAAUGGAAUCAAAUAACAUAAUGAAAUGCGAACAACGUUAUUAUCCAUGGCUCUGGUUUUCCAUUUCAUUUGUUUUUAUCUCUUAAGCUUUGUUCUUUGAUUUUUGGAGUUCACUAGUGCAGUUCUUCGAUGUGGGUAUGCCCAAAAAAGCUUAUUUCUUUGUCCAUGGCUCCUGUUUUCCAUUUCGUUAGUCCUUUGUGUUUUUACAUCAUAGGGCAACUCUGUAGAUAGCUCCGGUUUAGUUUUUACCACGUCAUAAGUAAUUAAUUGAUGCAUUGCAUUUUAUUUUUCGUAGGAAAAAACAAGGGGAUUUGCCACUGUUACAGAGAACCAAGCCACCAAUUAUGGGUAUGCCUAAAAAAACAGCAAUGUCCAAAUUGUGCCGGAGCAAUCAUAAAAUGGAUGUCAAAGAAGAACGAAAGGGCUUUUCAAUUGAAGAUUUGUCCAGUUUGUUAAAGAUUGCCGCUGAAAUUAUCGAACAACAAGAUGUCACCAUUAAACUAAGCUUCCACAAGGGUAAAGGAGACACGGAAGUCAGAAGGAAACGAAGGCCAAGAGAGUCGUGAACAUAUUCCAUAUAUGAAGGCGACGAGACGAGAAGAACUAACUUUUAAUUUCAUAUUUUUUUAAUAACUAGACUAUUCAUGCUUCCAAUUUCAUGUUUAUUGUUUUCGUUUAAGUGGAAACUAUGCUGUACUUGAUAUUUGAUUUCGUGAAGUUGUGAUUUCUAAAGAACAAUCUCCGUUUGCCUAUGUUUGAUUUGAACUAGUUGUGUAUCAAAACUUUUCUAAUGACCUUCUUCUAAUGAUUUAAACAAUCUCCAUUUGCCUCCAUUGUGAUGUUCAUGUUGCCUUCAAUCCCAGCAGC
rnacentral:lncRNA from 1 species